AAAUCAUCAUGAUCUCCUGCUACAGCCCUGUCCCAAGACAACCUCCACGGCUAUGAACUCGACUAAUGAGAUAUCAUUUGACCCUGUGAUUCUUCAGGACCAGAUCUUGAUGCCAUCCACACCCAGUACAUGACAAAGAUGCUGUGACAAAAAGCAGUCAAGCCACUGCAUGUGAUGUGGAAGCCUCUAUGAAGACAUGGCUCCGUAAUCCCUGGGACAGAGAUGGGGGAAGGCAAGGAAGGGCCAGAACUGCAGAAAUACCAACUGUUGCCCCUGAGGGGAUUGAUUUUUAAUUUUCAAUCCCCUGUUUUCUGUGGUUAUUGCUGUUUUAAACUGUAUUAUCAUUAAUUAUAAUUAUUAUUAAAUAUAAAUAAAUUAUUUGGGGAAAAAAACAUGACCCUCGAUUUAUUGCUGCUAA